CCUCUGGGUGACCUUCAAGGUCUGAAUUACGAUACACAGGAGAGGCAGAGGACCAAAAAGAGGAAGUAUCCUGCACGGGCCUUAGCUGAAGUCCAGAGUGCCUUUUGGAAGUAUGGGGAAGAGUACUCCACUGGCCUGAGAUUCUGCCAACUGGCCUGGAAGUUUGUGCUUAUUUUGGGUCGGCUCGCCUGAGGUGGCUUUCCUUUUGACAUCUCUAGUCUUCCAACUCUGACUUUAUCUUAACAUUAAGAAUUUGUGAAGAAGGGGAAAAAAGUGCUCUAAAGGAUACAACGGCAAGUGUGUUUAGGGGUGUUAAAGAGCUGACCAUAUUAAUGUUUUUGCUUGGAUCAUUGAACACAACUGUUUGCAGUCUCUCUGUUUGAAUGUCCAUUUGUAUGAUUUGAUACUGUGACUUGAGCAACUAUCUCUAAGAUGAUAAUGUGUAAUCUACUAACUGG
rnacentral:lncRNA from 1 species